rnacentral:rRNA from 1 species
GAUGAACGCUAGCGAUAGGCUUAACACAUGCAAGUCGAGGGGCAGCAUGAAUUUAGAAAUAUUUUUGAUGGCGACCGGCGAACGGGUGAGUAACGCGUAUGUAAUCUGCCCAUGUCAGUGGGAUAGCUCGAAGAAAUUCGAAUUAAUACCGCAUAGUACAAAUGUAUCGCAUGAUAUAUUUGUUAAAGAUUUAUCGGACAUGGAUGAGCAUGCGUUCCAUUAGCUAGUUGGUAGGGUAAUAGCUUACCAAGGCUAUGAUGGAUAGGGGGGCUGAGAGGUUUUCCCUCCACACUGGAACUGAGACACGGACCAGACUCCUACGGGAGGCAGCAGUGGGGAAUAUUGGUCAAUGGACGCAAGUCUGAACCAGCCAAAUCGCGUGAAGGAUGAAUGCCUUAUUGGGUUGUAAACUUCUUUUAUACAGGAAUAAAAAACACUACGUGUAGUUGUAUAUUGAAUGUACUGUAUGAAUAAGUAUCGGCUAACUCCGUGCCAGCAGCCGCGGUAAUACGGAGGAUGCAAGCGUUAUCCGGAUUUAUUGGGUUUAAAGGGUGCGUAGGCGGAUUAUUAAGUCAGUGGUGAAAUCUUUAGGCUUAACCUAGAAACUGCCAUUGAAACUGAUAAUCUUGAGUGCAGAUGAAGUAGGCGGAAUUCGUUAUGUAGCGGUGACAUGCUUAGAUAUAACGAGGAACACCGAUUGCGUAGGCAGCUUACUGAACUGAAGCUGACGCUCAGGCACGAAAGCGUGGGGAUCAAACAGGAUUAGAUACCCUGGUAGUCCACGCUGUAAACGAUGAUUACUAGUUGUUUGCGAUAUAUUGUAAGUAACCAAGCGAAAGCGAUAAGUAAUCCACCUGGGGAGUACGCCGGCAACGGUGAAACUCAAAGGAAUUGACGGGGGCCUGCACAAGCGGAGGAACAUGUGGUUUAAUUCGAUAGUACGCGAGGAACCUUACCCGGGUUUGAAGUGCAGAGGAAUAAAGUAGAAAUAUUUUAGCUGGAAACAGUCUUUGUAUAGGUGCUGCAUGGUUGUCGUCAGCUCGUGCCGUGAGGUGUCGGCUUAAGUGCCAUAACGAGCGCAACCCUCAUCAUUAGUUGCUAACAGGUCAAGCUGAGAACUCUAAUGAAACUGCCAGUGUAAAUUGAGAGGAAGGUGGGGAUGACGUCAAAUCAGCACGGCCCUUAUGUCCGGGGCGACACACGUGUUACAAUGGAUGGUACAAAGGGAUGCUACUUGGUGACAAGAUGCCAAUCUUUAAAGCCAUUCUCAGUUCGGAUCGAAGUCUGAAACUCGACUUCGUGAAGCUGGAUUCGCUAGUAAUCGCGCAUCAGCCAUGGCGCGGUGAAUACGUUCCCAGGCCUU